rnacentral:misc_RNA from 1 species
GGGGGGUGGUGUUGUUCACCAACAUUUCUAGAUAGGUUAAUUUAGUUUCAAAAAAUAAACGCCUGUGUAUCACGAGCAAAACCAUUAAAUAUAUAAAUAAAGAUUAAGGAAAAGACAAUUUCUACAUGACCAAUAGAUGAAAACCCUUCUUAAAAGCAUAAGAUCGUCAUCUAUAAAAUAGAACGCAUUCAGAAAUUGAAGGGUUGUAUUUAGAGAGCAGAUUUCAAAUAGAAAACUGUAAUGCUUCUUAAUACGUUUCUAUCCAGUUAGCAAACUUCAUGCAGAAAACUAUAUUGCUUCUUAAUAAAUUAAAGCAGGUUUUAUUCUUGGUCAUAAUGUUCAAAGAAUAGUCAUCAUAAGCAUGCUAUGUUGCUUAUAGAACAUCUAUUCCAUAAAAAUACUCAUGCUAAGGUAGCAUAUCCAUUCCCAACAAGGCAACAAUCCAAAGAAAGUUCAAAUAUUUAGUUAACUGGGUUGUAGAGUAGUGAAAUGCAAGUUUAUUUCAUGUUUUGAAAUAUGCAAAACAAGCAAAUUUUUCUCUCUAGAAGCCAGAUUCUUCAUCUUGCAUUCAAGAGACUAAAUGGGCAGGAGAGAAAAGCAAGGAAGUGGG